CGACGGACAAUUUGCAGGAUGAUUAGCAGGGAAUUGGAAAUUGAAACCAGGAAGAUUGGGUGUACGAGUUGAAUAACGAUCAGGCAUCAACAUUAUGAACAUUUCCUACAUUGCGAAUGCGGUUGUUGUUGUUGGGAAAAUUAUUGGGAGUACUUCCCGUUUGAUUUGAGGCAACCACACGGGACAGAUUCUCUACAGCCUUGGCUAAAUCACCGAUGUUCUUUUUAAUAUCUACCAUCUCGUCCUGCACCAUUUUGCGGACUUUAUCUUCUAGAGAUCUUUGUACCAUCAUGGCUUCAUCUACCACCAGGUUUCUGACACCUGGUGCUAACCCCUCAUCAUUGCCUUCACAACUAACUACCGGAUUUGACACUACUGCUUCCCCCGGGGCUCCUGCUAUUAUCGUCCCAGAAAGGUCAGUAAUCUGGGACACAACAUUGCUCCCAUUGGAAUUUGGAUUACCUGAUAUAUUCAUUCUGUACGUUCUUCUUUGUUUAGGUUCUGUAUGGAUUGUGGAUCUAUUCAAAUCAAAAUCUGGAUUUCUAUUUCGUUUUCUAUUUUUUUGUAUUGCGAUUGAUGUACUUGCUUCUAUUUCACUUUGCCUAUUGUAUUUUCUAGUUUGAUUUCUAGUAUUAACAUUCAUACCUUUAACAUCUAAUCAUACACAAAAUUUACUAGACUAUUCACUAACGCUAAAAAAUAUAAACAAAUAUUGUAUAGGAUUUUAAAAAAUAACGAUAUGUAUGUAUACGAAAAACUAACAAACAAAAUUCAAACAAUUUUGCAAAAGCAAUAAUUUAAAAAAUAAUUUUCUAACGAUUUUAAACAAAAAAAAAACUUUAAACAAAAUAAACUAUACGUUAUAAUAAAAAAAUUGUAUACCUAA